rnacentral:rRNA from 1 species
GUCCACGCCCUAAACGAUGGAUACUCGACAUUUGCGAUAUACUGUAAGUGUCUGAGCGAAAGCAUUAAGUAUCCCACCUGGGAAGUACGAUCGCAAGAUUGAAACUCAAAGGAAUUGACGGGGGUCAGCACAAGCGGUGGAGCAUGUGGUUUAAUUCGAUGAUACGCGAGGAACCUUACCUGGGCUAGAAUGCGGUUUGACCGUAGGUGAAAGCUUAUUUUGUAGCAAUACACAGAUCGUAAGGUGCUGCAUGGCUGUCGU